UUUCCGUAGGUGAACCUGCGGAAGGAUCAUUAUUGAAUAAACCUGAUGUGGCUGUUAGCUGGCUUUUCGAAGCAUGUGCUCGUCCGUCAUCUUUAUCUCUCCACCUGUGCACAUUUUGUAGUCUUGGAUACCUCUCGAGGCAACUCGGAUUUUGGGGUCGCUGUGCUGUACAAGUCGGCUUUCCUUUCAUUUCCAAGACUAUGUUUUUAUAUACACCAAAGUAUGUUUAAAGAAUGUCAUCAAUAGGAACUUGUUUCCUAUAUAAUUAUACAACUUUCAGCAACGGAUCUCUUGGCUCUC
rnacentral:misc_RNA from 1 species